rnacentral:tRNA from 1 species
AAAAACUUAGUUAAUAAAUAACAUUAAUUUGUCAAAUUAAAAUAAUCAUAAAAAAUAGUUUUUA